GGUUUCUUUCACUUGAUAGCAUGAGUUCAGCAUUUGUAGGCUGUCAAAUUUUUAAGGAUUUCUCACCAUAGUAAAACGAUUAUAUUGAAUUUACUUGGUGGAUCUUGAUCCGUAUGUAGCUCCUCUUUGCUUCCCAGGCAUAUGAGUUAUCUAUGUUUCCCUUUUGCUGAAAUACAUAUGGAGUUAAUUUUGCAAAACCAUAGAUAUUUUUGUCAAAACUAUAGAUUUAUGCCGCUGUAUUGCAAAACCACGUACUCCCUCCAUUCUAAAAUAUAAUGGAUUUUUGGAGGGAUGUGACGCAUCAUAGUAUUACAAAUCUAGAACAUAGUAUUACCACGAAUCCGGACAGCCUCUCUAUCCAGAUUCUAGAACUAGAACUAGGAUGUGUCACAUCCCUCCAAAAUCGCUUAUAUGGGACAUAGGGAGUAUUUAGCAUAUGGAGUUCCAUAAUUCUUGACGUUUGGACAAAAUUGAGGGCUAUCUAUAACUUUUAAAAUAUUUAGUUUGAAGAAGCUAGAACAUGAUAUAGAUUAUUCUUAAAAGUAUUUUAACAAAAUUAAAUAUUUCAUAAUUUCCCUCCUAGGAAAUUUUAGGAACUGAAGUCUACUUAACAAAAGACAACUGCAGCUGAGACACAGAGAGUCCGAGAUAGCUGCAACAUUAGUACUAAUUUUUUUGGUGUCUAGGGGUCUACUGGUUUAACUAAUUAAUGGAAUCAAGGAAUAAUGGGAAAUUUUAUAUAGUUCCAUCUCUGAUAGUAAUCUUACAUGCAUUUGAAUAAUGCGGAUUUUAUUUCUGAAUUGUUCUAUUAAAUGUACUGACUAAUGGACACCAGUAUGCCUCACUUCGACAUGUUUUCUUUAUGUUCUUAUAUUUAAUUAAUUAUCUUAUCAAUGCUAGGUACAUCAGUUGAAAGCUGUAAGGAGAAACUGAAGAGCCAAGAGACAGUAUAUUGAGCAACAUGGCCACUUUACCACUAGCCACUGGAGUUGGAUGGGUAGUAUCUCCUGUCAUCAAGCUUAUGUUUGAGAAGGUCCAAUCAUAUAUAUCAACUCAGUACAAGUGGCAGUCCAAUUUGGUGGAUGACCUUAAAAAGCUGGAGACUAUUUUAACUGAAAUUCUCUUGGUAGUAGGCACUGCAGAAAGGCGGAGAACACUUGAUUGCAAUCAGCAAGCUUUACUCCGCCAGCUGAAAGAUGCUGUCUACGAUGCCGAGGACAUCAUGGAUGAAUUUGAUUACAUGUUUCUGAAAGCGAAUGCUCAAAAGAGAAAGCUAAGAAGCUUAGGCUCCAGUUCUAUCUCUAUUGCCAAGCGUUUGGUUGGCCAUGACAAGUUUCGGUCCAAAUUGGGAAAGAUGCUCAAAAGCUUGAGUACAGUAAAGGAAUGUGCCCAUAUGCUCGUCAGGGUGAUGGGAGUAGAAAACUUUAGUUCACACAUGUUACCUGAGCCCCUUCAAUGGCGUAUCUCCAGCUCGAUUUCAAUUGGUGAGUUUGUAGUUGGUCGUCAGAAGGAACGGGAAGAACUAGUGCACCAAUUGCUGGAACAAUCUGACAAACCUGAAUCUAGAAGCAAAGGAGCAAGGUCAACAUCAUUAGAGGUAAUUACUAUAGUCGGCAAUGGCGGAAUUGGAAAAACUACUUUAGCUCAACUUAUUUACAAUGAUAAAAGAAUCGAGGAUAAUUUUGAUAUGAGGGCAUGGGUAUGUGUAUCACAUGUCUUUGAUAAGGUCAGAAUCACCAAAGAAAUCCUAACAACUAUUGAUAAAAGCAUUGACCUAACGAAUUUUAAUUUUAGCAUGCUGCAAGAAGAACUCAAGAACAAAAUAACCAUGAAGAAGUUUCUACUUGUAUUGGAUGAUGUUUGGUAUGAUGAAAAGGUUGGGGUACCCAUAAAUGCUGAUAGAUGGAGAGAAUUGUUUGCUCCUUUAUGGCAUGGGGCGAAAGUAAUCAAGAUUUUAGUUACAACUCGAAUGGGUAUUGUUGCAAAUACAUUAGGAUGUGCCACUCCAUUCUGUUUGAGUGGUCUAGAGAGUAAAGAUAGCUGGGAACUUUUCAGAAGAUGUGCAUUUAGCACUAGAGAUCCAAAUGAACAUCUCGAAUUGAAGUCUAUAGGUGAACACAUUGUGCAAAAAUUGAAUGGAUCGGCAUUAGCUAUAAAGGCUGUUGGUGGGCAUCUUAGUUCAAACUUCAACUAUGAAGAAUGGAAUCGAGUUCUAAAAAGUGGUCUAUCGAAUGAGAAAGAUAUUAUGACAAUUUUACGCCUAAGCUAUGAAUGCUUGCCAGAGCACCUUCAGCAAUGCUUUUCGUUCUGUGGUUUGUUCCCAAAAGGUUAUUAUUUCGAGCCUGACAUGUUGGUUAACAUGUGGAUAGCUCAUGAAUUUAUUCAGGAUCGUGGACGCACCUAUGGAAGCUUGACAAGCACUGGGAAAAGUUAUUUUGAUGAGUUGUUAUCAAGAUCAUUUUUCCAGGCACUUCGAUAUGGAGGUACAGUGCAUUAUGUUAUGCAUGACCUCAUGAAUGAUCUUGCUGUCCACGUGUCCAAUGGUAAGUGUUACAGAGUAGAAGCCAAUGAACCUCAAGAGAUUUUUCCAGAAGUUCAACAUCUGUCUAUACUGGCUGAAAGAGUUGACCUUCUUCGUGCCUGUAAGUUGCAAAGGCUGCGCACCCUAAUAAUUUGGAAUAAAGAAAGAUGUUAUUGCUAACGAGUUUGUGUGGGAGUAGAUUUUUUCAAAGAGUUCAAGAGCUUGAGAUUAUUGGAUUUGACUGGUUGCUGCUUAAGAUAUUUGCCGGACUUAAAUCACAUGAUACACCUUAGGUGCUUAAUUCUCCCAAAUACUAACCGUCCUCUACCUGAUUCACUCUGCAGUCUUUACCAUUUACAAAUGUUGUUUCUACACCGGCAUUCAUGUUUUAUAUGUGCAAAACAUGUCAUCUUCCCCAAAAACCUGGAUAACCUGAGCAAUAUUUUGACUAUUGAUGUUCAUAGGGAUCUUACUGUUGAUUUGGCUUCUGUGGGGCAUAUGCCAUACCUCCGGGCUGCAGGGGAAUUCUGUGUUGAGAAGAGGAAAGCGCAGGGGCUAGAGGUGCUGCAUGACAUGAAUGAAAAAAAAAACUAGAAUAUUAGGGAAGGACCUAAUAUCAAAUAAUUAGGAGGGGUGAGGCUUUGAACCCAGGUCGUCUAGCCCACCACCUUGUGGAGCUAGCCGGAAGACCCCUGGGCAUUUCUCCUGCAUGACAUGAAUGAACUCCGAGGGUUUCUUAUAUUUACAUCUCUCGAGAAUGUGAAAAACAAGGAUGAAGCAAUUGAUGCUCAGUUAGUCAACAAGAGUCAAAUAUCUAGGUUGGACCUACAAUGGAGUUUUUCUAAUGCAGAUAGCCAAUCUGACAAAGAAUAUGAUGUGCUCAAUGCUUUAACACCUCAUCCUUGCCUUGAGGAAUUGAAUGUUGAAGGAUACUCAGGCUGUACAUCUCCAUGUUGGCUGGAGUCCAAGUGGCUAUCUAGAUUGCAACACAUCAGCAUUCAUGAUUGCACAUGUUGGAAGUUGCUUCCACCUUUAGGUCAGUUACCAUCUCUCAGGGAACUUCAUAUUGAUGGAAUGAAAUCAUUAGAGUGCAUCGGCACAUCUUUCUAUGGAGAUGCUGGCUUUCCCUCCCUGAAAACACUAGAAUUGACAGAAUUGCCAGAAUUGGCAGAUUGGUCUUCAAUCGAUUAUGCUUUUCCUGUUCUUCACGAUGUACUCAUCAGUAGGUGUCCAAAGCUGAAAGAACUGCCACCAGUCUUUCCUCCACCUGUAAAAAUGGAAGUGCUCCCAUCCACCAUCGUUUACACACAGCAUACUGAUCAUCGCCUGGACACAUGUAUUACUCAAAAGGAGGUUAGCUUAACUAGCCUUUCGGGUAUUUUUCACGUAUGUCACCAGGAAUCUGUGGAAAUUGCAGAAAUUAGCUUUGACGGAGCAGACAUGGUGAAUGAUGGGCUUAGAGAUCUAGGCCCCAAUCUUCCAUCCCACCAAGGACCAUUUAUCUGCUGGUAUGCUGAUUUACACCGUGCGUUUGCGAGUUUAACAGAAAUGAAAAUUGUUGGUUGCCCCAACAUAACAUCGUUGUUGGACUUCAGAUAUUUUCCUGUCCUCAAGAACUUGAUCAUACAAGAUUGCCCCGAAUUGAAUGAACUACAAGAGGAUGGACACCUAACAACCUUGACAGAGGUUCUUAUAGAGCACUGCAACAAACUGGUAUCACUGAGGAGCUUGAGAAACCUUUCUUUCCUUUCCAAACUGGAGAUCAGAAAUUGCCUGAAGUUAGUGGCUUUGCCUGAGAUGUUUGACUUCUUCUCCCUCAGAGUCAUGAUCAUACACAAAUGCCCUGAAAUUGUUUCUUUACCGGAAGAUGGUCUUCCUCUGACCCUUAAAUUUUUGUAUUUGAAUGGAUGCCAUCCAUUGCUAGAGGAGCAGUUUGAAUGGCAACAUGGUGUUGAGUGGGAGAAGUAUGCCAUGUUGCCGUCAUGUUUGUUUGCUGGUGAAUCGAUAGGAUAUGGUCAAGAUAUAGCUGAGGAAAUACUUCGCGAGAAUGAUAUAAUCCAGCGGUCAAUUCAAUCCAGUCUACUGCAUCCAACUGAUUCUUCAGCAAGUUCUUCCAGUUUUCUUCAGUAAACUAUCUGGGCUGUCCUCCGAAGCUGUAGGCCUGCCGGUGAUCACCUACAGCUUCAUCACAUCUACCUGUGUGGCUGUGCUGACCUGGCCAAAAAAAAAAAAAUUCCACCUGUGGGUUCUAUUUUAAUCAAGCCAACUUAUUAUGAGGCUUGUGCAUUUUCACAUCUAAACCUAUUAUUUAUGCAUUACAGAACAUUCACCAUUCAUUGCUUGCGUUUUAUACUUUUUCUACAAGAUGCAAUGUUGCCAUCUGCUCACCAGGAGUAUCUUUCUUGUGGAGUUAUUUUUUCCCUUUUCUUUGGAAUAAUCAGAUAUGUAUCACACAAUAUGUAUGCUGGCUUUUGAGAUAAAUACCGGAGAUUGAAAUGACAUUUUGAGAUUUGAGCA